rnacentral:rRNA from 1 species
GACGAACGCUGGCGGCGUGCUUAACACAUGCAAGUCGAACGGAAAGGCCCUGCUUUUGUGGGGUGCUCGAGUGGCGAACGGGUGAGUAACACGUGAGUAGCCUGCCCUUGACUUUGGGAUAACUUCAGGAAACUGGGGCUAAUACCGGAUAGGAGCUCCUGCUGCAUGGUGGGGGUUGGAAAGUUUCGGCGGUUGGGGAUGGACUCGCGGCUUAUCAGCUUGUUGGUGGGGUAGUGGCUUACCAAGGCUUUGAGGGGUAGCGGGCCUGGAAGGGGGACCGGCCCCAGGGGACCAAGGGAAGGCCCCGAGGGCAAUGGGGGACAAGGGGGGGGAAUUUUGUCCAAAGGGGCGGAGCCGGGUACGAAAAACCCCCGGUCGGGAAGCCGGGCUUUUGGGUGAGAAACGCAUUCGGCUGAUACCAAGCGGUUGUGACGGUAAUGGGGAAAGAAGCAACGGCUAACUUCGUG